AUUGAACGCUGGCGGCAGGCUUAACACAUGCAAGUCGAACGAGCGGCGGACGGGUGAGUAAUGUAUGGGAAACUGCCUGAUGGAGGGGGAUAACUACUGUAAACGUUAGCUAAUACCGCAUACCAUCAGAUGUGCCCAGAUGGGAUUAGCUCGUGGGUGGGGUAAUGGCUCACCUAGGCGACGAUCCCUAGCUGGUCUGAGAGGAUGACCAGCCACACUGGAACUGAGACACGGUCCAGACUCCUACGGGAGGCAGCAGUGGGGAAUAUUGCACAAUGGGCGCAAGCCUGAUGCAGCAAUGCCGCGUGUGUGAAGAAGGCCUUCGGGUUGUAAAGCACUUUCAGUGAGGAGGCGUUACUCGCAGAAGAAGCACCGGCUAACUCCGUGCCAGCAGCCGCGGUAAUAC
rnacentral:rRNA from 1 species